rnacentral:rRNA from 1 species
GAUUAAGUUAUUAAGGGCGCACGGUGGAUGCCUUGGCACUAGAAGCCGAUGAAGGACGUUACUAACGACGAUAUGCUUUGGGGAGCUGUAAGUAAGCUUUGAUCCAGAGAUUUCCGAAUGGGGAAACCCAGCAUGAGUUAUGUCAUGUUAUCGAUAUGUGAAUACAUAGCAUAUCAGAAGGCACACCCGGAGAACUGAAACAUCUUAGUACCCGGAGGAAGAGAAAGAAAAUUCGAUUCCCUUAGUAGCGGCGAGCGAAACGGGAAGAGCCCAAACCAACAAGCUUGCUUGUUGGGGUUGUAGGACACUCUAUACGGAGUUACAAAGGACGACAUUAGACGAAUCAUCUGGAAAGAUGAAUCAAAGAAGGUAAUAAUCCUGUAGUCGAAAAUGUUGUCUCUCUUGAGUGGAUCCUGAGUACGACGGAGCACGUGAAAUUCCGUCGGAAUCUGGGAGGACCAUCUCCUAAGGCUAAAUACUCUCUAGUGACCGAUAGUGAACCAGUACCGUGAGGGAAAGGUGAAAAGCACCCCGGAAGGGGAGUGAAAUAGAACCUGAAACCGUGUGCUUACAAGUAGUCAGAGCCCGUUAAUGGGUGAUGGCGUGCCUUUUGUAGAAUGAACCGGCGAGUUACGAUUUGAUGCAAGGUUAAGCAGUAAAUGUGGAGCCGUAGCGAAAGCGAGUCUGAAUAGGGCGUUUAGUAUUUGGUCGUAGACCCGAAACCAGGUGAUCUACCCUUGGUCAGGUUGAAGUUCAGGUAACACUGAAUGGAGGACCGAACCGACUUACGUUGAAAAGUGAGCGGAUGAACUGAGGGUAGCGGAGAAAUUCCAAUCGAACCUGGAGAUAGCUGGUUCUCUCCGAAAUAGCUUUAGGGCUAGCCUCAAGUGAUGAUUAUUGGAGGUAGAGCACUGUUUGGACGAGGGGCCCCUCUCGGGUUACCGAAUUCAGACAAACUCCGAAUGCCAAUUAAUUUAACUUGGGAGUCAGAACAUGGGUGAUAAGGUCCGUGUUCGAAAGGGAAACAGCCCAGACCACCAGCUAAGGUCCCAAAAUAUAUGUUAAGUGGAAAAGGAUGUGGCGUUGCCCAGACAACUAGGAUGUUGGCUUAGAAGCAGCCAUCAUUUAAAGAGUGCGUAAUAGCUCACUAGUCGAGUGACACUGCGCCGAAAAUGUACCGGGGCUAAACAUAUUACCGAAGCUGUGGAUUGUCCUUUGGACAAUGGUAGGAGAGCGUUCUAAGGGCGUUGAAGCAUGAUCGUAAGGACAUGUGGAGCGCUUAGAAGUGAGAAUGCCGGUGUGAGUAGCGAAAGACGGGUGAGAAUCCCGUCCACCGAUUGACUAAGGUUUCCAGAGGAAGGCUCGUCCGCUCUGGGUUAGUCGGGUCCUAAGCUGAGGCCGACAGGCGUAGGCGAUGGAUAACAGGUUGAUAUUCCUGUACCACCUAUAAUCGUUUUAAUCGAUGGGGGGACGCAGUAGGAUAGGCGAAGCGUGCGAUUGGAUUGCACGUCUAAGCAGUAAGGCUGAGUAUUAGGCAAAUCCGGUACUCGUUAAGGCUGAGCUGUGAUGGGGAGAAGACAUUGAGUNNNNNNNNNNNNNNNNNNNNNNNNNNNNNNNNNNNNNNNNNNNNNNNNNNNNNNNNNNNNNNNNNNNNNNNNNNNNNNNNNNNNNNNNNNNNNNNGUGUCUUCGAGUCGUUGAUUUCACACUGCCGAGAAAAGCCUCUAGAUAGAAAAUAGGUGCCCGUACCGCAAACCGACACAGGUAGUCAAGAUGAGAAUUCUAAGGUGAGCGAGCGAACUCUCGUUAAGGAACUCGGCAAAAUGACCCCGUAACUUCGGGAGAAGGGGUGCUCUUUAGGGUUAACGCCCAGAAGAGCCGCAGUGAAUAGGCCCAAGCGACUGUUUAUCAAAAACACAGGUCUCUGCUAAACCGUAAGGUGAUGUAUAGGGGCUGACGCCUGCCCGGUGCUGGAAGGUUAAGAGGAGUGGUUAGCUUCUGCGAAGCUACGAAUCGAAGCCCCAGUAAACGGCGGCCGUAACUAUAACGGUCCUAAGGUAGCGAAAUUCCUUGUCGGGUAAGUUCCGACCCGCACGAAAGGCGUAACGAUUUGGGCACUGUCUCAACGAGAGACUCGGUGAAAUCAUAGUACCUGUGAAGAUGCAGGUUACCCGCGACAGGACGGAAAGACCCCGUGGAGCUUUACUGUAGCCUGAUAUUGAAAUUCGGCACAGCUUGUACAGGAUAGGUAGGAGCCUUUGAAACGUGAGCGCUAGCUUACGUGGAGGCGCUGGUGGGAUACUACCCUAGCUGUGUUGGCUUUCUAACCCGCACCACUUAUCGUGGUGGGAGACAGUGUCAGGCGGGCAGUUUGACUGGGGCGGUCGCCUCCUAAAAGGUAACGGAGGCGCUCAAAGGUUCCCUCAGAAUGGUUGGAAAUCAUUCAUAGAGUGUAAAGGCAUAAGGGAGCUUGACUGCGAGACCUACAAGUCGAGCAGGGUCGAAAGACGGACUUAGUGAUCCGGUGGUUCCGCAUGGAAGGGCCAUCGCUCAACGGAUAAAAGCUACCCCGGGGAUAACAGGCUUAUCUCCCCCAAGAGUUCACAUCGACGGGGAGGUUUGGCACCUCGAUGUCGGCUCAUCGCAUCCUGGGGCUGUAGUCGGUCCCAAGGGUUGGGCUGUUCGCCCAUUAAAGCGGUACGCGAGCUGGGUUCAGAACGUCGUGAGACAGUUCGGUCCCUAUCCGUCGUGGGCGUAGGAAAUUUGAGAGGAGCUGUCCUUAGUACGAGAGGACCGGGAUGGACAUACCUCUGGUGUACCAGUUGUCGUGCCAACGGCAUAGCUGGGUAGCUAUGUGUGGACGGGAUAAGUGCUGAAAGCAUCUAAGCAUGAAGCCCCCCUCAAGAUGAGAUUUCCCAACUUCGGUUAUAAGAUCCCUCAAAGAUGAUGAGGUUAAUAGGUUCGAGGUGGAAGCAUGGUGACAUGUGGAGCUGACGAAUACUAAUCGAUCGAAGACUUAAUCAA